AUGGUGACAUUGAGGGAUAUACUAAGGAGAUAUGAAGAGGCAUCGAGCCAACAAGUUAACUUGCAAAAAUCUUCUAUCUUCUUUGGGAAAGGUCAUCAGGAGGAUGACAAGGAGGAAAUAAAGAAUAUAUUGGGAGUUCAUUCAGAAGCUCUUAGUGAGCGAUAUCUCGGACUACCAACACUGGUUGGGAAGUCUAAGGAGGGUACUUUCAGAUAUGUGAUAGAAAGCUCGAAAGGCAAAGCUAGCGGAUGUAAGGGACAAGGUCUAUCAAAAGCUGUGAGAGAAGUGUUGAUCAAAUCUGGGUUACAAGCUGUACCCACUUUCACCAUGAGUUGUUUUCAGCUCGCGAAGAAGACGUGCCGGAACCUGACUUCGAUCUCCUCUAAAUUCUGGUGA
rnacentral:rRNA from 1 species